AUGUACCUGUGCAGCAAUGUGAUACUUACAAUUUCCUUCUUUUUACUAUUCGUAGGAUGCUUGGUUCAAUGAUAUGUCAUCUUGGCAGAUUUGUGCAGAUAAUCGGAGUACUGUGUGCCCAAAUGAAAGGGCAAGCUGUGGCUAUUGUGGCAGCAGUAACCUUACAUGGAAGGUGCCUGCCUUUGCUUCAAACUUUGGAAGAACUGACGGUUGCUGAGGUCUAUAUAGUGAAUCAUUGUGAUUUGGCUGGUUAAGGCUGCAGUCCAUACAGAUAAUGGGCAAAGCUUCGGCUUUAUUAGUAGCAGUACCACAUGGGUAGGCGUGUGGGGCUAAAUAGUACCACAUGCUUAGAGUUCAUAUGGAACGAGGAAUGCUAACAUUGUUAGCAGUAAGCAUUCCUUGGCCUUCAUUUGGUUUUACACAAGCCAAAGUUUAAGGAUCUCAGAGCCAACGGUUGCCAACUUCUACGAGUUUAUCUUUUUUGAGACUCAAGGUUGUUCAUGAAAUCUUUUUUCAUCUUAUUUAUGGUUUACAAUUGCUUUACUGUGCUCAAUUGAUGCCAAAAAAGGUUAAAAAGCAGAACAGAGUUGUUUAGCACUGAGACAAAAAACCUUACAGGUAAACCUCUACAAAAAAUUUUUUCAUUCAGAUUCAUAUUACAAAAUUUAUCUUCAUUCAGCUUCAAUUUUCUUCACAUCUCAA